UAAACUUCAAAGGCAGGGCUUUCAAAUCACUAAGCAAUUGGCAAACACGUGUUCUAUUUAUGUCAUAAUUUCUCUUUCCCUCUCCCCCUAUAUUCUUAUCGUCUCCUCUGUCUCUGUGUAGAGAACAAAAAAAGUUCGCAGAAAAUCUCAAACAAAUAGACCUAAAUUCAAAGACAAAGUUGUGAUUAAAGCAGGCAACAACCCUUUUUGACAAAGUUGUGCUGAAAUUUCACAUUUGGUGGACAUUUAUGGGUGACAUAUUCUACGACAAGAAGCAAAGGAAAAACAAGAAAGUGCAAGCCAAAGGAAAAGGAGAAAAUACGAACAAGGAGAAGUUAUUUUAGCUGCAUAUGUAAUGCUUCGUUAGUUCUUCUCGAUUUCUCAUUGUGUCUUGCUCUUAGCGUAAUAUACAGGCUUAAUUAUAAAUGCGCUUAAAUUUCUGAUAGUUGAUGUGAUAGAGAGUCUAUUAGGCUACCUUUUGUGUUAGAAUUGUUUUGGCAUGCAUAUGAAACUGUAGUUCUACUAUUAAAAGGCAACUUACGAUUGAAAUCACUCACAUUUCAUAAGUUUCUAACUAAAAUUCUUGAUUACUAAGUUAGCUAUGUGGACAAGUUGUGAAGAUGAAUAUGUAUUUAUCAGUUAUGAAUUUGGAAUGCAAAGCCUGUAAUCACACAAGUUAAUGCAAAAUAUUUUAUUUGUUCGAGUUUGAAUUUACUGGAUAUCAAUAGCUUCUCCAGCCUUCAUUGAAUUUCUGCAGCCACUUCUUUGUAGAACUUAUAGUUUCAACUUUUUUCUUGGGUUAAUUGUUUUAUUAACUCUAGCAAUUCCUGCUUUCUGUUCACAUGGUUUUUGCAAGGCGUGCUUUACUGUCUACAUAAGAUGUUUCAGGUAAAAAAAUGUGUUUUUAAUUACUGUUUUAUUUAAAAGUUUGGUAUUUUCACUGUGCAAGGAUACUUCAUGAGGUUUUCUCAGAACGAUAUCAUUCUCAGUUUUACUCUAUUUCAUGCUGUCAUGUGUCAAUAUGAGCUUAUUGUUUUUAUCUUCUAAGUGGUCUUCAUAAAAAAUGUGAAUUCCAUGGGUAAAGCAAGAGCUUUAGUCGAUGGCAAAUUGCCGAACAUGUUAUGAAGCUAUAUAACAUGUUAUGAACAAUUUAUUGCAGAAGUUAAAAGCUAAGGUAUGCCAUAUAAUGUUUUUGACAUUUUCACCAGUUUUCAUUAAUGCUGCUCAGUGUACUCCAUCCAUUUUCUACUAAACUAAUAAUUGGCUCCCUCCCCUUUCUUCAUUCCUUUUGUUGAAAGGGAGAGAUCAUAAGUUUUAUUUGAGAGUUAGCAGUUUUGGGUUCUUGAAUUUGAAAGAAGGGUAUGUAAAGCUUCUCAUUUAAUGUCUGCUUUUCGAAAGGCCGGUCAAAGUUAAGCUCUCAAAGCUCAUUAUUUGAGUUGGGAGUUCACCUUGAAAACAAUGCUCUGCUACAAAGUCUGCCUCUAGAGAUAAAUGUCGCUGCCACCGAGGUGGUGAAGAUCUUGAAUGCAAGAGUGGAUUUGCCUUUAUGGAAAAGAGCCUCUUCGUUGCAAAACGGAACCUACCACCACUUUUUGAGAACCACCAGAAGACAUUCAGGAUAGUUUGGCAAAUAACUAACAGGGGACAACAACUCUCUCUAUGGUCUCUAUCGCUCCCCGGCAGGAACCAGCAGACGUUGCCACUUUGUUUAGCCACUUUAGUAAAAGAUUAAGCACCUUUUGUGUAGUCAACAAUAUUGUAUUGAGGAUUCUCCAUCGUUAGUAGCUUUAAAUACUUGUCCUACUGUGAUGUCUCACUCACACCGGGAAAUUCUUUUCAUGACCAAAGAAAAAAAAAGGAAGACAUUAGCAGAAAAUUGAAGCUCCCGCAAAAGACAAACGUGUGUUGGAGAAUGACGUGUUGGGAGCUCUUUAAGCAUUUGCAUUUUUUUAUUCUUAGUCUUCUGGCAUCUAUUAAAGUGAAGCUCAUGUGCAAUUCUUUUAUGAAGAUAAUGCUAUGUAACUUUCAUUUAGUAUGAUAUAUGAUACAAUUGUAUAUUCAAACAA